rnacentral:rRNA from 1 species
UUCCAGACUCCUACGGGAGGCAGCAGUGGGGAAUAUUGCACAAUGGGGGAAACCCUGAUGCAGCGACGCCGCGUGAGUGAAGAAGUAUUUCGGUAUGUAAAGCUCUUUCAGCAGGGAAGAAAAUGACGGUACCUGACUAAGAAGCCCCGGCUAACUACGUGCCAGCAGCCGCGGUAAUACGUAGGGGGCAAGCGUUAUCCGGGUUUACUGGGUGUAAAGGGAGCGUAGACGGCAUGGCAAGUCAGAUGUGAAAGCCCGGGGCUCAACCCCGGGACUGCAUUUGAAACUGUCAGGCUGGAGUGCAGGAGAGGUAAGUGGAAUUCCUAGUGUAGCGGUGAAAUGCGUAGAUAUUAGGAGGAACACCAGUGGCGAAGGCGGCUUACUGGACUGUAACUGACGGUGAGGCUCGAAAGCGUGGGGAGCAAACAGGAUUAGAUACCCCGGUAGU